rnacentral:rRNA from 1 species
UACGGGGGGGGCAAGCGUUGUUCGGAAUUACUGGGCGUAAAGGGCUCGUAGGCGGCCAACUAAGUCGGACGUGAAAUCCCCAGGCUCAACCUGGGAACUGCGUCCGAUACUGGAUGGCUUGAAUUCGGGAGAGGGAUGCAGAAUUCCAGGUGUAGCGGUGAAAUGCGUAGAUAUCGGGAGGAACACCAGUGGCGAAGGCGGCUUCCUGGCCUGUUCUUGACGCUGAGGCGCGAAAGCUAGGGGAGCAAACGGG